AAUAAAAUGAAAUGCAUUAAGGGAAUGCCUGUGUGACUUUAGCGAACAAUUUCAGCAGAAAAACUUGCCUGAUAUUAGCCAACAAGACUGGAAAUUAAGAUGGAGGCAUUGGCCGGUUCCGGCGGCUCACGCCUGAAGUCCCAGCACUUUGGGAGGCCGAGCAGGUGGCCUGGAGAGGAAGAGAUAUGGAGUUAUUACAAAAAGGAAUCUGUAGUACUUGAAAACAAGCAAGAAACAGCAAGACAGAGGAAGAUGAAACUAAGAAGAAUAAGAAUCUUUUGUUUUCAGUUUCGAUAACGAAGCAAAUAAUGGAACCGAUGACAGGAAAAUUGAUUCAUAAGGUGAAGAUCAAGGAAUUUAACCGACUAGUAGACUGCGUAAGUUAUUU